UACAGAGGGGGCAAGCGUUGUUCGGAAUUACUGGGCGUAAAGGGCGCGUAGGCGGCGACCCAAGUCAGAUGUGAAAGUCCUGGGCUUAACCUGGGGACUGCAUUUGAUACUGGGUUGCUUGAAUUCGGGAGAGGAUAGCGGAAUUCCCAGUGUAGAGGUGAAAUUCGUAGAUAUUGGGAAGAACACCGGUGGCGAAGGCGGCUAUCUGGACCGACAUUGACGCUGAGGCGCGAAAGCGUGGGGAGCAAACAGG
rnacentral:rRNA from 1 species